AGAGUUUGAUUCUGGCUCAGAACGAACGCUGGCGGCGUGGAUAAGACAUGCAAGUCGAACGCUGAUUUCAGGGUAGCAAUAUUCUGAAGUCGGAGUGGCGCAAGGGUGCGUAACACGUGGGCAAUCUGCCGUGAAGCCUGGAAUAACUCGCUGAAAGGCGAGCUAAUACCGGAUGUGAUGUUUGGGAGAUAACUCCUGAACCUUAAAGCUGGGGACCGUAAGGCCUGGCACUUCACGAUGAGCCCGCGGCCUAUCAGCUAGUUGGUGAGGUAACGGCUCACCAAGGCUAAGACGGGUAGCUGGUCUGAGAGGACGACCAGCCUCACUGGAACUGAGACACGGUCCAGACACCUACGGGUGGCAGCAGUCGAGAAUUUUUCACAAUGGGCGCAAGCCUGAUGGAGCGACGCCGCGUGGGGGAUGAAUGGCUUCGGCCCGUAAACCCCUGUCAUUUGCGAUCAAACCGCAUUAUUUAAAAGAUGAUGCGCUGAUAGUAGCGAAAGAGGAAGGGACGGCUAACUCUGUGCCAGCAGCCGCGGUAAUACAGAGGUCCCAAGCGUUGUUCGGAUUCACUGGGCGUAAAGGGUGCGUAGGCGGCCGGGUAAGUCUGAUGUGAAAUCCCGCAGCUCAACUGCGGAACUGCAUUGGAUACUAUCCGGCUCGAGGAAUGGAGGGGAGACUGGAAUUCUCGGUGUAGCAGUGAAAUGCGUAGAUAUCGAGAGGAACACCAGUGGCGAAGGCGAGUCUCUGGACAUUUCCUGACGCUGAGGCACGAAAGCCAGGGGAGCAAACGGGAUUAGAUACCCCGGUAGUCCUGGCCCUAAACGGUGCACGUUUGCUGUGAGCGGGGUCGAAUCCGUUCGUGGCGAAGCUAACGCGUUAAACGUGCCGCCUGGGAAGUACGGCCGCAAGGUUAAAACUCAAAGAAAUUGACGGGGGCCUGCACAAGCGGUGGAGCAAAUAUCGUGACUGGGAAACAGAUCGGAAGAGCACACGUCUGAACUCCAGUCACCUGAAGCUAUCUCGUAUGCCGUCUUCUGCUUGAAAAAAA
rnacentral:rRNA from 1 species